UACGUAGGGUCCGAGCGUUGUCCGGAAUUACUGGGCGUAAAGAGCUCGUAGGUGGUUUGUCGCGUUGUUCGUGAAAACUCACAGCUCAACUGUGGGCGUGCGGGCGAUACGGGCAGACUAGAGUACUGCAGGGGGAGACUGGAAUUCCUGGUGUAGCGGUGGAAUGCGCAGAUAUCAGGAGGAACACCCGUAGCGAAGGCGGCACUCUGGGCCGAUACUGACACUGAGGAGCGAAAGCGUGGGGAGCGAACAGG
rnacentral:rRNA from 1 species